rnacentral:snoRNA from 1 species
CCUCAAGUUGCUUUGAUCAUGGUGUUUCUUCAUCUCAGAAACAUAAACUCUGACAGAGGAUUGAGGCUACGUCUCUGCUCAGUGUUCUGAACUGUGAACAUCUGAAUGAUUAGUAACCUCAUAUC